UGUGUGGAAGGAGGAAGGCAGGGAGAGGUAGAAGGGGUGGAGGAGUCAGGAGGAAUAGGCCGCAGCAGCCCUGGAAAUGAUCAGGAAGGCAGGCAACCAAGGGCUGUGAACCCGCCUGGGGAUGAGGCCUGGUCUUGUGGAACUGAACUUAGCUCGACGGGGCUGACCGCUCUGGCCCAGGGUGGUAUGUAAUUUUCGCUCGGCCUGGGACGGGGCCCAGGCCGGGCCCAGCCUGGUGGAGCGUCCAGGUCUGGGUGCGAAGCCAGGCCCCUGGGCGGAGGUGAGGGGUGGUCUGAGGAGUGAUGUGGAGUUAAGGCGCCAUCCUCACCGGUGACUGGUGCGGCACCUAGCAUGUUUGACAGGCGGGGACUGCGAGGCACGCUGCUCGGGUGUUGGGGACAACAUUGACCAACGCUUUAUUUUCCAGGUGGCAGUGCUCCUUUUGGACUUUUCUCUAGGUUUGGCGCUAAACUCUUCUUGUGAGCUCACUCCACCCCUUCUUCCUCCCUUUAACUUAUCCAUUCACUUAAAACAUUACCUGGUCAUCUGGUAAGCCCGGGACAGUAAGCCGAGUGGCUGUUGGAGUCGGUAUUGUUGGUAAUGGUGGAGGAAGAGAGGCCUUCCCGCUGAGGCUGGGGUGGGGCGGAUCGGUGUUGCUUGCCUGCAGAGAGGGUGGGGAGUGAAUGUGCACCCUUGGGUGGGCCUGCAGCCAUCCAGCUGAAAGUUACAAAAAUGCUUCAUGGACCGUGGUUUGUUACUAUAGUGUUCCUCAUGGCGAGCAGAUGGAACCGGGAGACAUGGAGUCCCUGGCCAGUGUGAGUCCUAGCAUUGCAGGAGGGGAGACCCUGGAGGAGAGAGCCCGCCUCAAUUGAUGCCUGCAGAUUGAAUUUCCAGAGGCUUAGGAGGAGGAAGUUCUCCAAUGUUCUGUUUCCAGGCCUUGCUCAGGAAGCCCUGUAUUCAGGAGGCUACCAUUUAAAGUUUGCAGAUGAGCUUAUGGGGGGCAAUCUUAAAAAGUCCACAGCAGAUGCAUCCGGCUCGAGGGGCCAUCAGCUUUGAAUAAAUGCUUGUUCCAGAGCCCAUGAAUGCCAGCAGGCACCCCUCCUUUCCUGGGGUAAAGGUUUUCAGAUGCUGCAUCUUCUAAAUUGAGCCUCCGGUCAUACUAGUUUUGUGCUUGGAACCUUGCUUCAAGAAGAUCCCUAAGCUGUAGAACAUUUUAACGUUGAUGCCACAACGCAGAUUGAUGCCUUGUAGAUGGAGCUUGCAGAUGGAGCCCCGUGACCUCUCACCUACCCACCUGUUUGCCUGCCUUCUUGUGCGUUUCUCGGAGAAGUUCUUAGCCUGAUGAAAUAACUUGGGGCGUUGAAGAGCUGUUUAAUUUUAAAUGCCUUAGACUGGGGAUAUAUUAGAGGAAGCAGAUUGUCAAAUUAAGGGUGUCAUUGUGUUGUGCUAAACGCUGGGAGGGUACAAGUUGGUCAUUCCUAAAUCUGUGUGUGAGAAAUGGCAGGUCUAGUUUGGGCAUUGUGAUUGCAUUGCAGAUUACUAGGAGAAGGGAAUGGUGGGUACACCGGUAGUGCUCUUUUGUUCUUGCUUCGUUUUUUUAAACUUGAACUUUACUUCGUUAGAUUUCAUAAUACUUUCUUGGCAUUCUAGUAAGAGGACCCUGAGGUGGGAGUUGUGGGGGACGGGGAGAAGGGGACAGCUUGGCACCGGUCCCGUGGGCGUUGCAGUGUGGGGGAUGGGGGUAUGCAGCUUGGCACUGGUACUGGGAGGGAUGAGGGUGAAGAAGGGGAGAGGGUUGGUUAGAGAUACAGUGUGGGUGGUGGGGGUGGUAGGAAAUGCAGGUUGAAGGGAAUUCUCUGGGGCUUUGGGGAAUUUAGUGCGUGGGUGAGCCAAGAAAAUACUAAUUAAUAAUAGUAAGUUGUUAGUGUUGGUUAAGUUGUUGCUUGGAAGUGAGAAGUUGCUUAGAAACUUUCCAAAGUGCUUAGAACUUUAAGUGCAAACAGACAAACUAACAAACAAAAAUUGUUUUGCUUUGCUACAAGGUGGGGAAGACUGAAGAAGUGUUAACUGAAAACAGGUGACACAGAGUCACCAGUUUUCCGAGAACCAAAGGGAGGGGUGUGUGAUGCCAUCUCACAGGCAGGGGAAAUGUCUUUACCAGCUUCCUCCUGGUGGCCAAGACAGCCUGUUUCAGAGGGUUGUUUUGUUUGGGGUGUGGGUGUUAUCAAGUGAAUUAGUCACUUGAAAGAUGGGCGUCAGACUUGCAUACGCAGCAGAUCAGCAUCCUUCGCUGCCCCUUAGCAACUUAGGUGGUUGAUUUGAAACUGUGAAGGUGUGAUUUUUUCAGGAGCUGGAAGUCUUAGAAAAGCCUUGUAAAUGCCUAUAUUGUGGGCUUUUAACGUAUUUAAGGGACCACUUAAGACGAGAUUAGAUGGGCUCUUCUGGAUUUGUUCCUCAUUUGUCACAGGUGUCUUGUGAUUGAAAAUCAUGAGCGAAGUGAAAUUGCAUUGAAUUUCAAGGGAAUUUAGUAUGUAAAUCGUGCCUUAGAAACACAUCUGUUGUCUUUUCUGUGUUUGGUCGAUAUUAAUAAUGGCAAAAUUUUUGCCUAUCUAGUAUCUUCAAAUUGUAGUCUUUGUAACAACCAAAUAACCUUUUGUGGUCACUGUAAAAUUAAUAUUUGGUAGACAGAAUCCAUGUACCUUUGCUAAGGUUAGAAUGAAUAAUUUAUUGUAUUUUUAAUUUGAAUGUUUGUGCUUUUUAAAUGAGCCAAGACUAGAGGGGAAACUAUCACCUAAAAUCAGUUUGGAAAACAAGACCUAAAAAGGGAAGGGGAUGGGGAUUGUGGGGAGAGAGUGGGCGAGGUGCCUUUACUACAUGUGUGAUCUGAAAACCCUGCUUGGUUCUGAGCUGCGUCUAUUGAAUUGGUAAAGUAAUACCAAUGGCUUUUUAUCAUUUCCUUCUUCCCUUUAAGUUUCACUUGAAAUUUUAAAAAUCAUGGUUAUUUUUAUCGUUGGGAUCUUUCUGUCUUCUGGGUUCCAUUUUUUAAAUGUUUAAAAAUAUGUUGACAUGGUAGUUCAGUUCUUAACCAAUGACUUGGGGAUGAUGCAAACAAUUACUGUCGUUGGGAUUUAGAGUGUAUUAGUCACGCAUGUAUGGGGAAGUAGUCUCGGGUAUGCUGUUGUGAAAUUGAAACUGUAAAAGUAGAUGGUUGAAAGUACUGGUAUGUUGCUCUGUAUGGUAAGAACUAAUUCUGUUACGUCAUGUACAUAAUUACUAAUCACUUUUCUUCCCCUUUACAGCACAAAUAAAGUUUGAGUUCUAAACUCAUUAGAAUUGUUGUAUUGCUAUGUUACAUUUCUCGACCCCUAUCACAUUGCCUUCAUAACGACUUUGGAUGUAUCUUCAUAUUGUAGAUUUAGGUCUAGAUUUGCUAGCUCCAAGUAAUUAAGGCCAUGUAGGAGAGCAUGGUAACCACAGAUAGAACUGGUAUUAUCCCAAGUGGUCUGCAGACUGCUGAGUGGGGAUGGGAUCUGCUCUCUGUUGAGAGUUGGUAAUCAUUGGUUUGAAAUGUGAUGAAACCACUCAAGCCAAUGAAGGUGGGUGUGUAGGUGGGGAGUACUUUGCCAUAAUAUUUUAAAACAUUACCUGGUUAGAGUUCUAAGUGGUACUUAUUUUUGUUUGGUUAGGGGAAAGCCUGAAUAAAAACAGAAAUGGACACAUAAUAUGCAUAUUCCAUAGUCUUUGGGAGGCUGGAAUGUGCCUGGGAUUUGGGUCUAAGUGUAUGCGUAAUUCUUACCUCACUAAAGAAUUUGCCUUGUUUUUUUCCUUUUGGUGAGUGACUAAAACGUCUGGGCUUCCCUGUGUGCGUGCUACAGUAAGCAAGCAGAGGCUGUGCAAAGGUGUGAGCAGGAUCACGUGGAAUCUGGAGGAUACAUCUUGGCUUGCAAACUGCCUCUGUCUCCUGGGUGGGACUGUUCUGUCCUUGCACUGCUGUUCUGUGUUACCUCUUGGGGUGUAAGGUUUUGCUUACAGGAGACAAACUUUGGGCGUAGAAUGGAAGCCACUGCCAGCCUCUGUGCUGAGAAGGAAGGUGCUUGUUUCAAAGGGAGCAGCAAGGGAGGCUUGUUCUACUCACCUGGGCCUGUUUGCCUGAGAAGGGGAGAUAAGGGCUGAACUGGGACUAGCCAGGGGGACCAACACAAAUGGUGGGGGAUCAUGACCUGAAGGAUUCUUUCCUUCCCAUGAGCUGCAGGGCUGGUUGCCGUCCUUGCAACUGUGUCUUAUUUGCCUGUGCCGUUAUAUCUUGGUGACCCCUCCACGUGUACACUACUGACAAACGGGUGGAGUGCUGGGGAGAAGUCACUGUGCCGCCCACCUAGUAAACCUUCUGUCUGUGCUCAUGGCAUCUCCAAGAUGGGGCACUGCUGUGUGCAGAAUCCAGGGUCCUCUUUCUGCUUGCAACUCCUUUCCCUGGAUGCCCCAGAAACAAUCCAGGCCUCCUUUCCUAUCUUACCCCUUUGCUUUGCUUUUUACCCCAGCACCUCUAUAACCGCCUUCUCUUCUUUUCAGAACUCCUUGUUUCUCGUCCUGUUUUUUAUGAUUACAAAACUCUUGCUUCCACCCUGGAAGAUAACUGCUAUAGAUGCCUGUAUGUAAAUGGUGCUGUCUCCAGCAACUGGCAUGCUGAAGAAGAAUUGAUUCACGGGGUAUAAAUGUUGGGGAUUGGAAGUGGGGAUGAAAUGGCACUUGUUGAUACAGGAGCAGAGAGGUGAGGCCGACUGCUGAAGACAGCUCGCCACCCUCCUUGCCUCCACUCCAAUCCAGGGGCUGGGGCCACAUUCUUUGCCUUCAUUUAUCCUCAGAUCAGGUGAGAUCGACAGGAGGUGUUGAUGGCAGUGCCAGCAAUUAUUGCUAAUCCGUUUGCAUCCUUAUGCAUAGAUCUGAAUUCAGACUUUGUGAAUUUCCAGAGGUGUGGGUAAUAUAAUAGAAUUCAGUGAGUGGGCAUGGCUGAUCUUGUGCAAAUUAAAAGUUAUGGGGCAUAAGAAUAGCAAAAGUUGAACUUCUUUUAAAAAGGAAAGUACCCUGAGAGCCAGUAUUGGUUGAGGCUCUUCAGUAUGCCCAGGUUGGCAGCACUGAGAACCGCAGGAACGGCCUGUUGUUACAAAAAGGAGAUUGACUCAGCUGCCCUUGGUGCAUCUGACUGACUAUGACUGCUGAGAGAUUCCAAGGACCCUUAAUGCCAGGGCUAACCUCUCCAUGUGCAGUGAGACCUCUGGAGGAAGUGUCAUCCUCUGGCUUUGUGUGGUACUCAUUAUGGUGCAGUGCGGGCAUGAAAUGAAGACACCCAAAUAGGCUUACAGAUACGAUAUGUUUUAAAUGUUCGUAUUUAACAAAAACAUACUGACACUGUUUGGAAAUGGCAACAGGAAGAUAGCAAAAUGAAUACUAACAUUACGAAAAGAUGAACAGGUACAUGUUCCAAGGCAGGUGGCUGUGAACUUCCUCUGAGUGAAGGCAUCCCCUCCAGCACCUUUCAGCCUGCUAGUUAGGACGACCCGCCGCCACCCUCCAGGACCUCCAGCCCUGCACUGCCUUUCCUCUCUUUUAAAUAAUUCUUCAUUGAGUUCUAAUAUGUAAAAAAAAAAAGUUUACUGUAAAGUUUGCAAAUAAGGAAAUUUUUUUUAAAAGUCCUCAGUAAUCUUACCAGUAACAAUUGUUAUGGGCACAUUUGCUUUUGGAAGAUUUCUUUUGUAUGCAUGGGAUAAGUACAUUUUUAAACAAAAAUGGGAUUAUGCCAUAAAUUCUAUUUUGUGACUUUAAUAUAUAGUGAACACCUUUUUUAAUGAUGACAGGAUGUUCCCUUGCAUGGCUGUAUCAAUUUAAACAAUCUUGUUUCAAUGGGCAUACAGGGUAUUUUCUAGUUUUUUUUUCCUCUUAGAAAAUAAUACUUGCGAUGACUUUCCUUGUAGCUCAGACUUUUUCACGUCUGUUGUUAUCUCUUUGGGAAUGCUGAAUACAUACAUUUCGAGAAGGAAAUGACUGUUAAACUCUUAAGACUUCAGGUUCAUAUUGCUAAACUGCCCAGCAGGGAGGGAUUUUUUCAAUUAGUGUUCUCACUGGUGAGGCAAACCUGAUGCCUUCCCCUCUUCCUCAGAACCGGCUUUAUCACAUUGAAAACCUUUGCUCCUCCGACGGAUCGAGUCUGCUUUCCCUCUGGAUGUGAGCAUUGCUUUGUCUGCUGGUGACUGAACAUCUCUACCUUGUGUCAAUUGGCCAUUUGUGGUGUGUGUGUGUGUGCGUGUGUGUGUGUGUGUGUGUGUAUGAUUUUCUAAUUCCUAGUCAUUUUUCUAUUGAUUGUUUUGCAAAAGCCAUUUACAUCUUAAGGAUAUUGAUAAUCUUUUGUUAUAUUUGAUGCAAAUAUUUUUUUCCAGUUUAUAGGUUGCCUUUUAAUUUUGUGUUUCAGGUAGAUAAAAGUUAAACGAUUUUCUUAGGUUAGUUUAUCACUGUGGUUUCUGAACUUGUUAUGUGUAGAUCUUUUCCACCCCAAGAGUACAUAAAUAUUAAUCCAUACUUUCUUAUGGAACUUGUAUGGUUUCGUUUUUUACAUUUAAACCUUCUUCCCCGUGGUGUGUGUUGUGGAAUCUGUGUUUGUGUGAGGAGGGGCAUGGUGCUCUCAGAACCCACCUCCUGUGGCCAGAGAGCCCUGUCCUGUGAGGGUGGUUGUCACAGUGGCAGGGUUCAAUUCAGAAGACCUUGAGGGCAGGCUGAUGUUUCCUGAAUGGGCCCCUGGUUGUUGCUUGUCCCUGACUCUCCAUUUCCCCAUCUGAGUGGAUUUGGACCUAAUAGGGCACUGGAGCUGGUUCGAAUCCUGACUGGACUACUUGGCAACUUUAUGUCUGGGAGCAAGUUACUUAACCUCCCCAAGCCUGUGUCUGUGAAAUGCGGGUAAAUGAAUGUAGAUGUUUGGCAGCAGCUACUCCUUGUUGAGCUCUCACAGUGAACUCUCCUGCCUCUGCCCUCCUUCCCCGCCUCCCCUGGUGCCUAGCGUCAGGUCUAGCCACUUCCUCCUGGGCCCCUCUCCCUUUUCUGUGGCUGGCUGCCUGCCCGCCUGGCGCUGGACCUUUCAUGUAACGGGAAUCAGCAUGUAUAUUCUGGUCUGGUCUGUUUCUACACUUAAUUUUGUUUCCAGUAGUAUUUCCCUGUACCGGCAGAGUUCACAAACACAUUUGAAGAGGCUUUUUCUCAGGAUUCUUAACCUUCCCAAAGGAAGUCCCAUGGAUGGGUUUCUAGAAGUCUAUAAAUGCUCUGAAAUUGUAUUUUUCUGUGGAAAGCAUAACUUUCAUCUGCUUGUUCGUGCUCAAAAAAGAUCAUGAAUGAAUGAUUGCAUGAUUUUAUGCCAUUGUGCUUAUACUAAAGGAUAUGUAGCCCAUCUCUUGAGCUGUUAAACUGUUUUGACUACUUUAAAUCGUGCAGCUGUGAGCAUCUCUGUAAAUUUAGUGUACACAUGUAUCCCCUGGAGUGGCAUUGCCUCGGCAGUGAGCACUUAUGGUUUUAUAACUCUCUUCACAGACUCAAAUGACUCCAGAAAGCUACACUUCCUGUUGUGAGUAUAUGAUAUCCAUUUCCCUACAUAGCCACUAACAUCAGGUUUUUACAAUUUUAUUUAUUUCUUGCUACUUUAAGAAAUUUUUGUGGUGAAAUACAUAUAAUAGAAGUUGACUAUCUGAAUCAUUUUUAAGUAUACAUUCAGUAGUGUUAAGUAUGUCGCCAUUGUUGUACAACCAAUCUCCAGAACUUUUUCAUCUUGCAAAACAAACUCUGUACCCAUUAAAUAACAUUAAACAUUCCAUUCCCUCCAGCCUCAGCAACCCCAUUCUACUUUCUGUUUCUGUGAGUUUGACUAUUCCAAGCACUUCAUAUCAGUUAAAUCAUGAAGUAUUUGUCUGUCUGUGACUGGCUUAUUUCUCUGAGCACAGUGUCCUCGAGAUGCGUCUAUGUUGUAGCAUAUGUCAGAAUUUCCUUCCUUUUUAAAAGAUCCAAAUAAUAUUCUUAUUUUAUAUCUUUUUUUUAUCCAUUCAUCCAUUAGUGGACACUUGGGUUGCUUUUGGCUAUUGUAAAUAAUGGUGCUAUGUACAAAUAUCUAUAUUAUUGUAUUUACAAGUAUAAUGCUGUAAUGUACACACAUCUUUUUGAGAUCCUACCUUCAGUUCUUUUGAGUAUAUAGCCAGAAGUGGUAUUACUAAAUCUUACGAUAUUUCUAUUUUUAAUUUAUUGAGGAACCACUGUAGUUUUUCAUAGCAACUGCACCAUUUUACGUUCUCACCAAGAGUGCACAAGGGUUCCGAGGUUCCCACAUCCUCCCCAACACUUGUUAUUUUCUGCUUUUUUUAGAUUGCAGCCAUCAUAGUGGGUGUGAGGUGACAUUUCAUUGUGGUUUUGAUUUGCAUUUCCCUAAUGAGGAGUGAUGCUGAGCAUCUUUUCAUAUGCUUACUGGUCAUUUGUAUGUUGUCUUUGGAAAAAUGUCUAUUCAAGUCCUUUGACUAUUUUAAAAAUUGGGUUAUUAGAGUUAUCGUUGUUGUUGACUUGUAGGAGUUUCUUUCUAUAUUCUGGAUAUUAAUCCCCUAUCAGAUAUAUGAUUUGCAAAUAUCUUCUCUUAUUCCAUAAGGUUACUUUUUCACUUUGUUGAUUGUGUUCUUUGAUGUAUAGAAGUUUUUAGUUUUGAAAUAGUCUAAUUUAUCUGUUUUUACUUUUGUGGUCUGUGCUUUUGGUGUCAUAUCCAAGAAAUCCUUGCCAAAUCCAACGUUAUAAGGUACUUUUAAGGUAUUUUAGUUGUCUUAGUCUAUAUUUCUGUACUCACCUUUCUUUAUCCACUCAUCAGUUGAUGGGCAUGUAGGUUGGUUCCAUAUCUUUGCAAUUCUGAAUUGUGCUAUGAUCAGGUGUCUUUUUAGUAUAAUGAUUUACUCUCCUUUGGGUAGAUACCCAGUAGUGGGAUUGCUGGAUCGAAUGGUUUUUAUAAUUUUCUAUUUUACCACAGUUUCUCUCUGCAUUUUUCCUCUUUGACCACUAACCAUGUGAAAUUCUCAUAUUGACCUUUAUAAUGAUCAUGAACUCUUAGUAUCAUUGGGAAGGCCACAUUUGCCACUUAUGAUUGUAAACCUUAUCCUCCAUUUUUCCUGUUAUUGUUGGUGCAAAAAGCACCUAUUAUACCAGGACUUUAAAAAUCAGUCUGAUAAGUCUUUGAUAAGUCUAAUAAUAAUAACUGAUAAGUCCAUUGAAUUUGCUUCUGAUUACUUUUUCUUUAGUAGCUAAACAUGUAUGUACUCCUAUGAUUACAAUGAACACUCCUCUCCAUUUAAAUUAAUUAUUUACAUUGAUGAAAUAGCAAAAUGUUAAUGACUAAAUACUGUCUUGGUUUUUUCGUUCCAGGUCAGUCAAUAUUAACUUCUUAUAAUUUUCUUUUUUUUCUUUAUGUGUGUGUGUGUGUGUAUAUAUAUAUAUAUUUAAUUUCAAUGGCUUUUGGGGUACAAAUGGCUUUUGGUCAUAUAUAUGAGUUCUACAGUAGUGAAGUCUGAGAUUUUACUACACCUUCCACUUAUGUGGUCCCACACCACCCGCCUCCCCUGCCGCCUCCUGCCACCCCCUAGGCCAAGGUAAUAAUCAUCCUGAAUCCUGGGUUUAUCUCUCACUUGCUUUCUUUUCAUAUAAUUUUGCAAAAGAAUCUGAUCUAAAUGUGUUUUUCAGAGUAUAUAUUUAUAUUUUAGCUGUUCUUAGAGAAAAUUUAUUAUUUUGCAUGUAAUCUUAUGGAACAUUCUCAUUUAAUACCAUGGUAAGAUUCAGCCCUUGCCCAGGGGAUAGUUCAUUUAGUUUGUUUACUGGAUAGAGCUCAUCAUGUGACUAUACCUCAGUUAGUUUAUCAGUUCUCCCAUCCAUGGUGACUAGGUUGCCUCUCAGCCUCUCAACAACACUGUUUCUCAGUGUCCUUGUAGAAGUGAUAUGUGGGUGUUUUCUCCUUACACAGAGUUGAAAGGUGACGACAACAACGUUGGCACUACCAAUCCCCCACCCUCCAGAGGGGUAACCAGUGUUACCAGUUUGCUGUGUUUCCUGCUACACCUCGCCUUAUUCACUUCCAUUUGUAUCUGAAAAACGUGUUGCAUGGUUUCUUUUCUAUAGAAGUGGUAAAAUGCUAUUGUGUCCUGUACAUUAUUGAUUACUUUUUUUCAUUUAACAGUAGGGAGAUGCCUGGGAGUACACAGAGAACUGCCCUCAUUGUUUUCAACUUCUGCACUGUAUGUCUGUGAGUUUAGCCAUUCUGCUGUUAAUGGAAAUUUACAGUAUUCUAAUCUUUUGAUAUUACAAACAGUUCUGUGCGAUCAUCGUCAUACACAACCCCUUGUGCACAAUGCAUGAGUGUUUCUCAGGGUAGGUACCAAGAAGUGAAAUUCCUGGGUCAUAGGGCGUGAGUCCGACAUUUUUCUCCAUUCUGCCCUGUUGCCCUCCAGAGUGGGUGUCCAGCUUUGCAUACCUAAGUAUGAGAGUAUCUGUUGUUCAUAUCCUCUACGACGCUCCAUAUAUGAAACUUAAGUUUCUGCUAGUUGCCAUCUUUGAUCUAUCAUGUAUGCAGUGACCUACUAAGACUGUAAUUGGUACAGUAGAUUCUUGUCAUCUGUGUGUGAAUUUAGCAUUCAUGGGCUUAAUGCUGACAAGGCCCCCAGGGUCCAAGACAUAUAAUCAUGUAUAAUUUUGUCAAGGUAUAAUUUUUUAAAUUGCUUUUGUCAUGUGUCUGCUGGUGAUGCCCAACCCAGUGCUCUGCACCCAGGUCACACUGUGGCUUUGUCCUCUGCUUAUGCCUGCAUUGCAGCAACUGUCCUGAAGAGACCAAAAUUAUGCAGAUUUAGGUAAGUCCAUGGCUAAUGUUAUUAUAUUAUGUGCUAUUGUAAUGGAUGGGGCUGUGGAGUGUAUGAAUUUAUAAAUCACUGGUCUUGUAAUUAAAAUUCAAACACUAUAGAAAAAGGCCAUGUAGAAGAUAAAAGUUCCUCUAUAAUCCCGGACCCCUAAGAUAACUACUAAUGACAACUUCAUUUAUAUUCCUUCAGACAUUUUCUGGCUGUGGAUGUACUAAAAUGUAUCCUAUUAUUCUCUGCCCUAAAAUGGAAUCAUACAAGGUGUACUGUUAUUUUUAUGGCUCUAUAACAUGUCAUAUUGUACGUGUUGGUAUGGUCAUUUUAACCAUUUUUCUAGUGAUGGCUUUGAGGUUAUUUGCAGUUUCCUAGCCAUCUCAAAGUGUGCUGCGGGGAUCUCUUUUGCAUCCCUCUGGGUGCAGAGCUGAGGCACCCAGAGGCAGUGUCCAGAGGAGGCAGCAUCUGUAGGUGUCUUCACCUGCUCUGGCUCUUGGCACAUCUGGUUGGUGACACUGUUUUGUGAGAUGGGUUGAAAGCACGUGCUGCCAAAAUAGAAUAAUGUUGGUCCUCUCCUCAUGUGCCGUGGAACUGGGGUAAAACUGCGUAGUGGCUGCAGCUGCCUGUCCAUACCGGAAUCGAGUAUAACACGGUGCCUGGCUUAGCACAAAACAGUAGUGGGUCCUGCAGGCCCCAGAGUCUAAUUCCUGGUAUUCUUUCCCCUACACAGAUUAAAUAAACCAAAAACAAACUAUUCUAGGAAAGCGUCUGUGACAUUUGUAAAAAGUGGUAUUUAAUGAUCUUUUAUUCACUUGUCUGUUUAGUUUGUUGAAAUCUUAAGUGGCAUCCUGGUCUGGGAAGGAGUGCUGUCUGCGCCUGCCCUCCGCUGGGCACAGCGUGGCUGCUUCAGGGGCUAAGCACACACUUUCUGUCUUCUAAAGGGCCGCCACAUGCCAGGAGCUCAGGUGUGAGCCCGGCUCUGGCUCUUACCUCAUAGGGUCACUCAUAGGGGCACAGGGAGCAGAACAUUGUACACAGCGAGGCACCACCCGGCUUGGCAUCUGCCUCGGUGGACUUACUACCUCUAGAAGGAAAUACCUGAGUUCCUCUGGCCUCAGCUCCUAGAGUGACUGGUGUGCUGUCCCUGUUACUCUUCUGUCAAGGUGACAACUGUGUGACCCAUCAUCUGUGUGUCAAAGCAAGGCCCUGCCUGGGCCUCUGCUCCUGUGCUGACCCCAAAGGCAAAUGCUUUGCUAGUUUCCUUCCAGUUAAUUUCACCUAUGAAUAGAUGUGUGAAAACUGUUCAAAGCCAUACCUGCACAUGUUUGAACUUCAAACCCUGUGGGUGAUUCAGUGGCAUCUUUCUCUAACCCCCAGCCUCCCUUCCCACAGAGGCCACCGUCAUGGCCAGUUGCUGCAGUUUCUUUCCAGAGAACCUGUGUAUGUGUAAAGCUGUACAGGCGUGGGUACACCACACAGCCUGUCUUGCACUGUGGACUGUUGAGUUACUAGUACAUCUAGGUAAGCACCGCAUAUCUGUAUUCAUGUCUGCCUUGGUCUUUUCAACAUCUGUGUGGUAGCCGUGUUUGAAUUACCCAUUCCCUUUUUGGGGAACCAUUAAGUUGUUUCAGCAAUUUUUACUGUAGAUAAGGCUAUACCGCAUAUCUGUGUACAUGGGUUUUUAUGUACAUGGGCAAGUAUAUCUGUGAGAGAAAAGUUUCCUCAGGAGGAAUUCUGGGCACAGCAUGUGUAAAUUUCUAAAUAUGAUGGACACCCCCAGCUUCCACCUCAAGGAGGUUGGUCCCAUUGACAUUUCCCCACACCUUCACCCAGGCUGUGCCCUUAAACUUGGUUAUUUGUCAAUGUGAGAAGUGGAAAAUAGUAUUUAAUUGUAGUUUGGAUUUGUAUUUCUAUUGGGUUGUAUACUUACUGAUUAAUAAUAAGAGCUCUUUACAUAUUAAGGAAAUUAACCCUUUUCAAAUACAUUCCUAUUUCUCACUAAUCUUUAAGUUUUAUUGUAAUAUUUUGCUCUUUAGUUUAUAUAUAUAUGUAUAUAUAUAUAUAUGUAUAUAUAUAUAUAUACAUAUAUAUAUACAUAUAUAUAUACUAAUUUUCUUUUAUGGUUCCUGGAUUUUGUGAGUAGUUUGAAAAGGCUAAUCCAGCUGAAGAUUUUGUUGUUGUUGUUAAACCCCAUGUUUUCUCCUAACUCUUUUUAUUUUUAUUUUGGAGGACUCUAUCUAGACUUAAUUUUAGCAUAACAAGUGACAGGGUUAGUUAGCCUGUUGUCCUUACACCAUUUUCUGGCUAAUACAGCUAUUAACUAUUGAUCUGUCUAUUCACGUGCCAGUUCCUAAUGGUUUUACAUAGUGUAAUCUGCACUUCAAAAUAGCGAAGGGAAGCCCUACCUCAUUAUUCUACUUUUCCAGAAUUCUCCUGGCUAUUCCAGGCUGCAUGUUUACCUUAACCUUCCCUGUGAUGUCUUCAUGCCGUUGUCUUCUUAUGCAAGAAUAAGGUACGUCUUUCCAUCCACUCACGUCUAUUUAAUUUGACUUUGCAUUACACAGAAAGCUGGUCUUGGUCUGUCUACCUCGGCAUCUAGUUGUCCUCACUGCCCCCUAGCCGACCCCACCCCAUCUGACUGACUACCCCAUCACAGAGUACUUUUAUUUACGUUUUGCUCUGCCUAAUGGUUACUUGAUACUGUCACGCCGACAGUGUCCAGUUCAGUGGUCUUUGCAGUUGAAAUGCUCCCGUACACACUGUCUUGUUAAAAAUGCCAGUAAGUUCAUACAAACCCAGCUUGCACCCAAGGUCACAUUCAGAGAGCGUAGGGCUGGGAUGGGUUGUUUUCCAAGCUUCUGCCACUGUGUGGCUAGCUCUUCCCACUGGGAAGUUCUGUGUACCCGGAAUGUCGGAGUGGAGUCCUGUUCUAGUGUCCAGCACCUGACCCUGUGCCCAACCCCUCAACAGCCUAUUCCUGCUGUCCACAGCCUGCUGGAACUUUUUACAAAAUAUGUUGCCAUGCUGGACCCUGGGCACUGGACAUAAGCCCCCUGGCAGCCUUUUUCAUGUCACCCAAAGGGGUAAUUGUCCUACUGGUGGUCUGUAAGAUGAGUUAGGGUGACUUGCUAAUAGACAUUGUAAAUCUUAAUAUUUAUGUAUGUAUUUUAUUAUUACCGGUUUUCCAUUUAUGAUGGUAAUAUUGUUUCUUCUAAGAAUAUUUAUUUUUCCUUCUAAAUAUUGAGAUAAAAUUCAUGCUUUUGAAAUGUUCUAUUCAGUGGCUUUUAGUAUAUUUGCUAUGUUGUGCAACCAUCGACACUAUCCAUUUCUAGAACUUUUUCGUCAUCCCAAACAGACGCUCUGUAUUCAUAAAAAAAUAACUUCCUACCUGUCUCUCCCCCUAGUCUUUGGUAACCUUUGUUAUACUGGUAAACUUUGUUGUGCUCUCUGUCUGUGUGAAUUUGCCUAUUCUAGGGGCCUCAUAUAAGUGUAAUCAUACAGUAUUUGUCUUUUUGGGUCUGUCUGAUUUCACUUAGCGGGUUUUCAGGGUUCAUUCAUGUUGCAGCAUAUAACAGUACUGCGUUCCUUUUUCUGGCUGAAUAAUAUUCCACUGUAUGGAUAGACCCCAUUUUGUUUAUUCACACAUCAUUUGGACAUUUGGAUUAUUUCUGGUUUUUGGCUAUUAUGAACAAUGGUGCUAUGAACAGUUGCGUACAAGUUUUUGUGUGAACAUAUGUUUUCAAUUCUCUCAUUAUAUACCUAGGAGUAGAAUUACUGGGUCAUAUGGUAACUGUAUAUUUUUGAGGAACUGCCAAACUAUUUUCCCACGUCCAUGCACCAUUUCACAUUCCCACCAGUAAGUAAGAGGGUUCCAAUUUCUGCGCAUUCUUGCCAACACUAGUUAUUAUCUGACUUUCUGGUUAUAAUCAUUCUAAUGAGUGUGAAGUAGCCUCUGGUGUCAUUUGGAUUUGCAUUUCUCUGAUGAGUGAUGCUAUCAAGCACCUUUGCUGGUGCUGUUGGCCAUAUGUGUAUGUUCCCUGGAGAAGUGUCUGUGCUGAGCCUUGGCCCACUUUUUAAUUAGGCGUUUGUCUUUUUAUUACUGAGUUGUAAGAGUUCUUUAUAUAUUCUGGAUUCUAGACCCUUAUCAGAUACAUGGUUUGCAAAUAUUUUCUCCCAUUCUGUGGGUUGUGUUUUCACUUUAUCGAUAAUGUCCUUAGACAUAUAAUAAAUUUGUAUUUUAAAAGUGACUUGAUUUGGCUGUGCAAGGUGGCUCACGCUUGUAAUCCCAGCACUUUGGGAGACUGAGGUGGGUGGAUCAUAUGAGGAGGCUAGGAGUUCGAGGUCAGCCUGGCCAGCAUAGCGAAAACUUGUCUCUACUAAAAAUACAAAAAUUAGUCAGGCAUGGUGGUGCACGUCUGUAAUACCAGCUUCUCAGGAGGCUGAGGCACGAGGAUCACUUGAACCCAGGAGGAGGAGGUUGCAGUGAGCUGAGAUCAUGCCAGGGCAACAGAAUGAGACUUUGUUUAAAAAAAAAAAAAAGUGACUUGAUUUAAGGGAAAAAAUGACUGGCUAUAUUCAGUCAGAUAUGGCAAAAAGUCUCAAGGUGUUAAUGUGAAUGAUUAAGGUCUUGGGGGGGGUGUCCCCUAUCAGACUACAGGUGUUUAGAGGCACAGAAAAAGGUGCAGUUGGGUUCUUAAUGUGAAAUGAUGAGAAGCACAACUCCAGUGUGUCUCUUUGUGUAGAAUGUCAGCAGACACCCCCUGCUAGAUGUGCUGGAUCAUGGGAAAGCAUUUCCAUUUGUUACUAGAUUGUUCAGAAGUUUUAAUUUAUGAUGGGUGUGGUGGCUCAUGCCUGUAGUCCCAGCACUGUGGGAGGCUGAGGCAGGAGGAUCAUCUGAGGCCAAGAGUUCAAGAUCAGCCUGGGCAACAUAGUGAUACCCUAUCUCUUAAAAAAGAAGAAGUUUUUAAAUUUGAAAUAAUAAUAGGUACUGGAUUUAUGCAAAUGUCUUUUCUGCGUCUUUUGAGAUGAGUAUCAGGUUUUUUUUUUUCCUUUUAUCAUCUGAUGAUGAACUUAAUGUUUCCAUUUGUAUUAAUGGAAUACUAAGUCCCUCUGUGAUUUCUGAACCAAGCUAUUCCUAGGCCUGAGUUUUAUUUUGUUGACACAGAAAUAAAUUAGAAGGCCAAGCGUGGUGGCAUGUGCCUGUAGUCCUAGUUGCUGAGGUAAGAGGAUUGCUUGAGCCCAGGAGUUCAAGGCUGCAGCAAGCUUUGAUUGCGCCACUGCACUCCAGCCUUGGCGACAGACUAAGACGCUGUCUCAAAAAAAAACAAAAACGACAAAAAAAAAACAAAACAGAAAAAAUAAACUAAGGCAAUGACAGUCCCUGGCAAAUGCUGGGAGGGAGGCAGCAGUGGUCAGGGAAGGUAACCCUGAAGCAGGACUUGUAAAGCAAAUAAGAUUGGGAGGCCAAGGUGGGUGGAUCACGAGGUCAGGAGUUCGAGACCAGCCUGGCCAACAUAGUGAAACCCCGUCUUUACUAAAAAUACAAAAAAAUUAGCCAGGUGUGGUGGUGGGUGCCUGUAGUCCCAGCUACUUGGGAGGCUGAGGCAGGAGAAUCUCGAACCCAGGAGGCGGAGGUUACAGUCAGCUGAGACCGCACCAUUGCACUCCAGCCUGGGUGACAGAGCAAGAUUCCGUCUCAAAAAAAAAAAAAAAAAAAAAACCAAGAAGAAAAGGAAUGAAUUAGAACUUCUUCUGCUUGGACUUAAGGGCAUCAUCAGGCAGGUUUUGGGUAGGAUAGCAGGGGAGGCAGAGACAUAGUCGGGGUCAGUGGUCAUGAGUGUGGCUUUGAGCCCAAAAACUUGGUUUCUGUUCCCUACUUUGCCACUCAGUAGUGCAUGACUUUGGCCAAAUUUCUUAAAUUCAUGAAGCAAGUUUCCGGGUGAAUGAAAUGGGGAUAAAAAUAGUGUUCAAACCUAUCCGUUGGUUUGUGUGAAACUGAAAUGAAUAGUAUCGUGCAGGUACUUGUGAGCAAGGGGAGCUGCUGUUUCCUGUCCCUUUAUGAUGGGAAAUAUCUAGACAAGUUCCCAACCCUCUGCACUGCAGGCUGCAUGGCACGGAGGGUCUUGUAACACCAGCUGGGGCUGGCCUUCUUUUAGGAGCUUCAGUGGUUCUGAAAACUUUUAUUUGUUUGUUUGUUUUAGUAGAUGUGGGGUCUUUCUGUGUUGCCCGGACUGGUCUCAAACUUCUGGACUCAAGUGAUCCUCCCCCGCUCAACCUCCCAAAGUGUUGGGAUUACAGGUGUGAGCCACUGUGCCCAGCCUUGAAAACUUUUUCAGGUUCUUCCAGGGUUACUGGGCUAUUAAAUAUUUCUAUUUCAUUAUAAGUCAGUUUUUCAAAGUUAUAUUAUCUUAAUUACCUUUUUUAUAUGUAUUAGUGUAGAGUAGCAUUUUAUAUUUUGAUAUCCUCCUUAUGCAUAGUUUUUCACUUUUUAUUCCUAGUUUUUCGUUUUUAAUAAGACUUUCAAGAAAUUUAUUUUAUUGGCCUUUUGAAAAAAGCAGCUUUAGAUAAAGUAAGCAGUUCUGCUUUCAUUUUAUAAUUUAUUUCUACUUUUGUUUCAUUAAUCUUUUCCUCCGGCAUGCCUUGGAUUUUGUUGUGUUACUCUUUUUCUAGAGGCUCGCAUUGUGUGUCUGGUUCACUUAUGAUCACGCUUGCCUACUUUUAAGAAUGGAAGAGGGGAGGUGGAGGGUGGCUGCACAGUCGAGGGUGUGAGGCAGUCUUGCUCUAGCCCCACCAUGCCCUCAGCCCGCUGUGGCCACGCUGGUUCCUCAAUUGCUGGGGCGUGCAGUGUCUGUAAGGGAGGCUACUGAUGCCAUCCGAGGAAGAUGUAAGGUUUCGUGUGGGCAGCGAGAGCCUAGCAGGCAUGUGGGGUGCCCAGCAAAGGGUAACAGUGGACAGUUGUUGCCUCAUUCCACAGAGUUUUGAUUUUUUUUUUUUUUUUAAUGGUCACUCCAUCAACAUCCCCCAUGGCCAGAGCCUGAGCUGGUCCCCAGAGACACAGGCAUUCAGCUGACAGCCUCGCCUUCACGCUGCUGCUGUUCUCAUGGGGGACAGGCCUCAGGUGGCAAUGCACAAAUCAUUAGUUAAGGGCAGUUGUGACAGUUACCAAGGAGUGUAGUCCCCCGCCCCCCGCCCAGUGAAAACAGCCCUAACCAGGGGUGGGGACCUUUGGGCUCUGACCCGAAGGGUAGGAGAAGCUGGAAGGACAGCAUUCCUGUCUGCGAAGGCAGGAGCAAAGCUGCCAGGCUAUGAAGGAAAUGGCUGGAGCCUGAAGUCAUGCAAGCUGGGGCUGGCAGGGACAGGGCCAACUUCCAGGCCUGGGGGCCACCAUGAGGAUUCAGGACGUGACCCCCAGGGCACAUGAAGGCCUUCCAUCUGUAUUUAAGAAAAGACUUUAUCAGACGAGUAUGGUGGCUCACGCCUGAAUCUUAGCACUUUGGGAGGCUGAGGCAGGUGGAUCACGAGGUCAGGAGUUCAAUACCAGCCUGGCCAAUAUGGUAAAACCCCAUCUCUACUAAAACUACAAAAAUUAGCCAGGCAUGGUGGCGCACGCCUGUAGUCCCAGCUACUCGGGAGGCUGAGGCAGAAGAAUCACUUGAACCCGGGAGGUGGAGGUUACAGUGAGCCAAGAUCGCGCCACUACACUCCAGCCUGGGUGACAGAGUGAGACUCCGUCUCAAAAAAACCAAAAGACUUUAUCUUAUUUCCUAUAUGUUUGUGGUUUCAGUCCUGAUGUAUAAUUUGACCCUAGUUAGAAUGGUUAUCUGAGGAAGUGGCCUGUACGAUUUCUGCUUUUUUAAAUGUGUGGCUCCCUUUCUUCAUUGAUUAACGUAUGAUUAUUUUUAUAAAUGUUCCAUGGCAGUGGGAAGGGAUUCUCUGUCACAUUCCACAUCUGGAUCAGUUCCUCCCCAUUUUGUUGGUCAAAUCCGAUCUGCCAUAUCCUGUGUAAUGACAAGUGAGUUGCAUUCUCACCGUCACUCCUGGGGUCUCUCCGCUUCCCCUGAGCUGGCUCAGCAGUCUGCUCCAUGUGUUUUGAUGCAGGGUGACCCAUUGGUAUUCCCGACACUAACGCCCCCGUCUGUGGACUGCUUGCUGCUUGGGCUUCACUGUGUCUGGUGUUGACAGUGCAGACCUAAAGGUGUGCACACAUGUGCACACACACUCCGCUGUCUUCUUGUUUGCACUGGACUUAAAUAUCUAUGAGGGUUAUUUUCAACUGCUGAAUUUGGAAUGAUUUUUAUAUCUUUUCUGCUUUCUGCCCAUGUACAUGUGUUUAUUUUACACUGUUGUGAUUGGUAGUUACUAUGUGGGGACACAAUUACUUGGGCUGAAAUAAUCCACCUGUUGUGGUUGGGGUCCUCUGGGGCAUUCCAGGGUGAGAGGUUGUCACUGCCACCUGGGCCAUGUGGGCCGGCACCAGCAUUUUGUGGUUACGAAUUCUACAGUCACAAAUAUCUUUGGGCAAAUCCCCUUCUAUACCUCAAGGCAGCUUUUGGUUUGCAACCCCACUGGCCAGAGGGAAGGGCCAGUCACUUGGCUCUCUCACUGCCCUGCGCCCCAGAUGGUUCUAGGGCUGCUGUUUUCCCUUGGCCCUGCCAACACCACUGUUUUUACUUCUGCUCAUUGGCUGAGUGCAGUGGUUCCUGGAAGCCAGUGGCACGUUUCCCCGCGUAGCUCGCUUAUCCCACAGCACACACCCAAGGGUUCUGUUGCUAACACGCUGAAUUAAUUCUUUGCUCAUCUUACAGAGUGUGUUUUGACUGCCCCCAUUUCUGAGGCCUUGUAAGGCCAGAGCUUUGUUGCUUCAUCGGCAGGUUGGGACUUAGAUGGCCGUGAAUGUUUCCUCUCUGCUGCUGCAGUAAGUAAGUGCCCGCACCAUAGUGUGUUUGGAGGCUGAAGUUGAAGCGAGGCUGUGAGGGGAGAUGGACGUGUGAGGAGGGAUGAUGGGGCUUGAGCAAAGUGGGGGAGGGGGCAAAGGCAGUUGGCCCAACACAUUCCCCACCCCUUUGAGAGGUCUGAGGCCUGCAGACCUGGCUCGGAGCCCACCUGGUAGUCCUCAGACUGUGUGUGUGUGUGUGUGUGUGUGUGUGUGUGUGUGUGUGUGUGUGUGUGUGUGUGUGUAAAAGAGAGAAGUUGUGGAGAAAUGGGGGGCUGAUUCUGCUCAGAUUCAUCAGGAUGAGUAGAAGGCACCCAGCUCUCACCCUGGCCUGACAUGUGUGUCCCUGAGCAGGUUACAGUCCUCUCUGAGCCUCUGCUUCCCAUCUGGACCCUGCUGGGCAGGGCUUCUGAGCUCCUUAGCACUAGCAGGAGGGGCUCCAGGGGCCCUCCCUCCAUGGCAGCCAGGACAGGACUCUCAAAUGAGGACAGCAGAGCUCGUGGGGGGCUCCCACGGACCCGCCGUGGGCCCAGGGGAGGCAGAGCCUGAGCCAACAGCAGUGGUGCUGUGGACCGUGGAUCCUGAGGGUGGCCUGGGGCAAGUACCGGCUGAGGGUCCAGGUGGGCUUUGUGUACCUUUGGGUCCUGGGGCCCUGGUGACUUGGACUCCAGGUUAGAGUCAAGUGACAGGAGAAAGGCUGGUGGGGCCCUGUGCUUCCGACUUCAUUUCGAGUGAUGGCAGUUCCCAGGAAGGAAUCCACAGCUGACGGUGGCUGACAGAUCAGAGAAUGGAAGGCGAGGCAGGCGGGCGUCUGCGUGACCUCAGGUGCUUGGGGCCCAGCAGACCCAGAGAACCAUUUCCACUAGGCCAGGGUGCCGGAAGUGUCCACAGGUCUUAGAUUCCCUGUUCAGAUGAAAAGAUUUGUGCCUUUAAUGAUAAAAGUGAUCUGCAUAGAGUCAAAAAUUCAAGCCAUGGGUAUAAAAUGCAAGUAAAAUCCCUGCCCUCACCUAUCCCACCCUACUACACAGAGAUGUCCUCUCGAGUUUCCUAGACUCACUCUGGAAAUUUCUGUAUACACACAGAAGCUUGUGCCUCUGCUCGUGAAGGCAGAGGGAGGGAGAGCUGAAGGGCCAGCACCUUCUCACCUGUGGGCCCCCUCAGUGCUCGGUCCCAGAGCAUGCAGGACUGUGCCUCGUGUUCAGUUUGCUGGUCUGACUUCAUGCUCCUUGGGCAGGAUAUGCAUGUGCCAUGCUAGGAGACAUGUGGAUGUGAAGCUGGGGGACAAUGUCCCCUGGCUAUGCCUUUACAAGGGAAGUAAGGAAGGUAGGAGGUGAGCCUGGGAG
rnacentral:lncRNA from 1 species